rnacentral:rRNA from 1 species
UACGUAGGGGGCAAGCGUUGUCCGGAAUUAUUGGGCGUAAAGCGCGCGCAGGUGGUGAAUUAAGUUGUGGGUAAAAGGCAAUGGCUCAACCAUUGUAAGCCUGCAAAACUGGUUCACUUGAGUGCAGGAGAGGGGAGUGGAAUUCCCGGUGUAGCGGUGGAAUGCGUAGAGAUCGGGAGGAACACCAGUGGCGAAGGCGACUCUCUGGCCUGUAACUGACACUGAGGCGCGAAAGCGUGGGGAGCGAACAGG